UCGGUUGGAUAUAAUCAGCUUUUCUACCAGGUCAUGGGCCCUAUGAAAGCGGUGGGAGAGCCCAAAGUCGACCAGCGUCUAAACAGGAACCUGGAUUUUCUCUCUGACCCGUUGGUUCAGAGCCGCCCCGCUGCGAGCAGCAGGGGAGAGGCCACGGCUGAAGAGGGGCAGUCCUCUCUGGGCGGGCACCUCCUGAUCAUCCCUGACUCCACAGAGACACACUGGAAGCAACAGGAAGAAGGCUCCAGGUUCCUCAAUAAACCUGGGAGCCCCCAAGGCCCAGACCUUGCGCUGGUUCCAGGAGAGCGCUUGGAAACCACGGUCGAUUGUUUCCUGCGCUUGCUGGUGCCGGACAAAGGCCUGCGGACGUUCAUGGCCCAUGUGGAGCAAGCCCUGAGGACAGACUGCAGCCUGCCCCAGCUCCAGCUGGCCUGUGCCAAGAUGGUCUCAAAGACUGGGCUGCUUCUAAAGGUGCUCAGUGAGAGGCAAGAGAACCAGGGAGCCUCUGAACGCAUGGGCCAGUGUCGUCUGCAAGCGAACAUCUCCAGACGCACAGCUUUGGAGGAGGAUCAGGAGCCCACAGGGAAGGUAGGAGAGCUGCUGGGCACUGCUACAUGUGUUCCUCUGGGCAAGAAAGAAUGGAAGGAGUGAUCCUCAUGCUCUUUGUGACCUUUCUUCUAAUCCCACCCGAAGCCAGAGACCAUGGAUGACACGAUCAAAUUUGUGGUUUUGCUGUCUGUCUUCGUUAUCGUUGCUGUGAUGCUGAAGGGUGUCUUCCACGUGUGUUCCCAAUGUGCUGCAGUUCUUUGCCGACAGCUACUCAGCAGGAAAUCGUGGCUGAGAAGGUAACUGCUCCCUGCCCGUGCCACUGCUGUGCCGCCAAGAGUCUUUCCUGUGAAGAGCAACUCUUCCCCGAGCCCCGCGGGUGCCGCUUCCGAGGACUCCCCCGGCUGUGUUUCAAACCCGUCGCGUUUGGGGGAGCCCCGGGAAAGGGGCUCUCGAGCGAGAGCGCUGGGCACGCCUGGGAGCUGCCAGCCCUUCCCACGCCACUGCUGGGAUGGAUGUCUUGGGCUCCAGGGCGGUCCCAACUUUCUGUGAGCGCGAGCAAACGCCUCUCUGUUCCCACAACAGUCUCCUCUGCUGAUGGCUCUGCCCUGUUUUUCCCCGCUCCGUCCCCACAGCGGCUGGUGAAGAACUCACUCCCGUCCUCUCCAGUUGCCCUUUGCAUGCAGGCCUCAUUCCCAGCUCCUCCAGCCAUUGCCAUCCCUGCUGGGGCUCCCCCUCUUCCUUAGGCUCUGCUGACACACCCCCCGAGCAGGGAGAGGUGCUGGCACCUGCUGCAGCCCUCCCUGGCCAGACCUCACUGCUGAUGGCCCGGGAGCAGGGACUUCUGGGGAUGUGGUGCCAAAAAGCCUUUUUUCUCCCCAUUUGCCUUGCACACACUCCAUUGGUUUGCAGCGCUGGGAACGCCACUUCCCAACUCCUCCAGCGGCUGCUUCCCAGACAGGGCAGAGCACAGGCAGCCCUGCUGCCCUCAGCCUCCAUCACCAGCUGCCUUCUCUUUUUAUCCCUAUUCUCCCUUUCUGGUUUUUUCAGGUGCGGUGUAAAACUGCCAUGGAAAGGGAAGAAGGAGUGCAAGGAGGCACAGGAUGUAGAGCAGAAAAGGGCACGGAGCUCCUCCCAGUGUCACCCAUCUGCCCAGACUGCCUGCUCAUCCUCACCUUUCAGAGUCCUUCCCUUCCUCAGCACGUUCAAGUGCUUUUCACUGUUCAGAAAACCUGAAUUGGCAUUGGUUCAAUUCAUCCCGGAUUCCUCUGAAGCUGACAGAAAAGCAAUCCAGGAAGAGACAUAAUGUGAAGAACCUGCAUGACUGGAAGAGGUUCAAGAGGUUGAAGAAGUUAAUGGGAUUCCAACAACACUUCGCCUCUUGUUCUACUAUAGGAACUGCUGAGGCUCUCCUUGGAUGCUGUUUGAUUCGCUGUUGUUAUUUCCUUGGACGCUUUUUCCUUGACUGUUAUUUUCCUUCUGUCACUGCUGAGGGAAGGCCAGAGGGUGCUGUGGGUGCUCGGGACACCCAGAGGAGACAUCAGUACCUCAGGGUUCUCCUCAUCCCUUGUGGCAACGUUUCCCCCUGCAUUCAAUAAAAAUUAAGAUUGUUCUUGUU